rnacentral:rRNA from 1 species
CUUCUUGCCGUGCGUGUCGAUGCCAAGCAAUGAGUGGGGAGAGCACCAGGGAUAAUGAUUGUUUCUGUCCCCGGGUGGACGAAGGUGCCUGGUCGCAUCCAUUUGUGGGCUGAAACAAAUGGUGGCUGGUUGCAGCGCCCUGUGCCUGCUAGGCAGUUGGGGUGCAGCCCUGAUACGCAGACGAGGACAAAGUGCUUCUGUUCGACCCGUCUUGAAACACGGACCAAGGAGUCUGACACUCAUGCAAGCUCGCGGGUGGGUAAACUUGUUUGCGUAAUUAAGGUGUCUGUUGUGAUUUUUUGUGCACCAACGCCCGACCAAUCAAUCGAGAGAGGUUUGAGUGUGAGCAUUUCUGUCAGGACCCGAAAGAUGGUGAACUAUGCUUGAGAAGGGUAAGUUCAGGGGAAACUCUGAUUGAGGCUCGUA